rnacentral:lncRNA from 1 species
GGAAAACCACAAACAAAAUCAACACUGACAGCAGGCAGUCUCGAAAAUUGAAUAUCGAAAUCGGAAUAGAACUGCGGCGGGAAAUCGCUCGCUCGCUCGCUCGCUCGCUCGAAAAUGUCAACGACUCGCAGUCCCCUCAUGAUGAUCAUCAUCAGUGAGGAGCUGGGGCUCCGCUCAUUACCACGCCUAUUUUGUGUUUGCGGUAGCCAAUGUGUGCGACGAUGGGUAGCCAAAAUACCGAAAAGUGCCAUUCAUUCAGCCGUGGCACCUCGCGGUCGGAUUCCCAUGCCACGUUGCCGCAAGAUCAACUCUUCCUGGGGGCAGGGUGCCGCCCACUUUUUACAAGUGAUCGUUGUGUCCCAUAUGUCUGGCCGAUGGAGCUGUUUUUGGUACGGCUGACUGCCUGACUGGCUGACUGGCUGUUUGUUGCAUUUUUUGUGCCUGAACAGCAGCAAGUGGGCGUGACUCUCCAUGAGGGAGCGCGGGAGUCCGCAAUCCUCACAUAAAUAACCCAAGCUGUUGACAGUCUUUGGCACUG